CUUUGUAGAUGGCAGACCUUUCCUACAGAAGCUGCCCAUCAGAAAAAGGAAACCACAGGACAAAAAGUUGUGUUCAAGAAGGGAACAACAAGAAGGAAAAAAAAAAGUCAACAAUCUUAGAGGCAACCAUUCUUUGCUUUCAAUGGGACAGAAGAGCUCCUUGGCACUGGAACCCUCCUGGUCUGGUGAGGGAGGGAGGAGGGAUGCUCUGAGGACACACAGCCGUCAUCCAGAACUUCCUACGUUCGGAUCAAGGAAAGAGGCGGCGCAGGACGCUUGGAUCGUGUUGCCUGAAGGAUGGUUUGGACCGUGCGAGCGAGUCACAGAAGGUGAGCUAUGCUGAAGAACUUUCCAAAGCUAUCUUUCCAGUUUGCCCAUUUUUAUCUCCAUGGAGGACAAAUAGGUCCGUGAUGCUCUUAUUUCAAGUCCCCUACAUCUUGCUAAUUGCUGGUUGUGCGAUCCUGAAACUUAAUUCCUCUGUACUUCAGUUNAUAACACUCCUCUCUUAGGAUUGUUGUGAAGAUCCCAUGAGUUAGUUAAUCCAUGUAAAGGAUUUAGAACAGUGCUUGGCAUCUAGCAAGUGUUCAAGAAAUGUUGGUAGUUAUUAUUGUUAUGAUUCAUUUCUGUGGAACUUUGCAUUUUUUCCCCUUAUUUUCUGAGCAGAGACCUGCCCUCCUCCCAUUGUCUUUAUGCCAACUCUUUGGGUUCUUUUUAUGGAAAUAGACUGGUAAUAGAGUGCUUCAGCUGUUGGCUUUGCAGUCAAACAGACUCAAGUUGAAGUCCCUGAAGGAACAAUCAAGAGCUCUAACUCCUCAAGAGUGACUUCAUUUCUCCAAGCCUCAGUUUCUCCUUCUGUAAAACAGGGAUGAUAAUAAUCACACCUGCUUCCGUAACACUCUUGAGAGGAUGAAAUGUCGCAGUGCUUGCAUGAUACCUGGCAAGGAUGUAAAGCAUGUA
rnacentral:lncRNA from 1 species